UAACCUGCCUUCAAAUUCGGAAUAACAUUGCCAACGCGGUGCUAAUACCGGAUGUGGUCCCAGAGUCUCAUGACUUUGGGAUUAAAGGUGACCUCUUCUUGAAAGUUACUGUUUGAAGAUGGACUUGCGCACCAUUAGCUUGUUGGUGGGGUAACGGCCUACCAAGGCAGUGAUGGUUAGCCGACCUGAGAGGGUGAUCGGCCACAUUGGGACUGAGAUACGGCCCAGACUCCUACGGGAGGCAGCAGUAGGGAAUUUUGCGCAAUGGACGAAAGUCUGACGCAGCAACGCCGCGUGAGGGAUGACGGCCUUCGGGUUGUAAACCUCUGUUGAGUGGGAAGAAACGUUUUAAGGUUAAUACCCUUAAGAUCUGACGGUACCAUUCGAGGAAGCCCCGGCUAACUACGUGCCAGCAGCCGCGGUAAUACGUAGGGGGCAAGCGUUGUUCGGAUUUACUGGGCGUAAAGGGAGCGUAGGCGGAAUUGUAAGUUAGGUGUGAAAACUAUAGGCUUAACCUGUAGACUGCAUCUAAUACUGCUUUUCUUGAGUAUGGGAGAGGGCGAUGGAAUUCCAGGUGUAGCGGUGGAAUGCGUAGAUAUCUGGAAGAACACCAGUUGCGAAGGCGGUCGCCUGGACCAAUACUGACGCUGAGGCUCGAAAGCUAGGGGAGCGAACAGGAUUAGAUACCCUGGUAGUCCUAGCCGUAAACGAUGGACACUAGAUGCUGGGAGGGCUUUUUCUUCUCAGUGUCGAAGUUAACGCAUUAAGUGUCCCGCCUGGGGAGUACGCUCGCAAGGGUGAAACUCAAAGGAAUUGGCGGGGGCCCGCACAAGCGGUGGAGUAUGUGCUUUAAUUCGAUGCAACGCGAAGAACCUUACCUGGGGCUGACAUGGGAGAGAAAGUUUCCAGAGAUGGAGUCCUUUCCUUCGGGAACUCUCUACACAGGUGCUGCAUGGUUGUCGUCAGCUCGUGUCGUGAGAUGUUGGGUUAAGUCCCGCAACGAGCGCAACCCUCGCCCUUAGUUGCCAGCGGGUAAUGCCGGGAACUCUAAGGGGACCGCUUGGUAUAACCAGGAGGAAGGUGGGGAUGACGUCAAAUCCUCAUGGCCCUUACGCCCAGGGCUAGACACGUACUACAAUGGCCGGUACAGAGGGCCGCAAAACCGCGAGGUCAAGCAAAUCCCUUAAAACCGGUCUCAGUUCGGAUUGGAGUCUGCAAUUCGACUCCAUGAAGGUGGAAUCGCUAGUAAUCGCGGAUCAGCAUGCCGCGGUGAAUACGUUCCCGGGCCUUGUACACACCGCCCGUCAAGCCAUGAAAGAUGGUAGUACCCGAAGUCGUUAUUCUAACCGCAAGGAAGAAGGCGCCUAAGGUAAGACCAUUAAUUGGGGCUAAGUCGAAACAAGGUA
rnacentral:rRNA from 1 species